CACUCGACCAUUGAGAAGCCCCUCAAUUCAAAUCCCGUCAGUUUGACAACAGUUGUCAUUUCCAUUUUUGUUUACCUCCUGUUUCUGAUUCAAAAGUGAAUGAAUCGAGGCGAGUUUGUUUAAUGUUUUUAUCCUCCAUACAGUGUAAUCAGGUGCGGUCGACAAAUAUUAAUAUAUAUAAAUAGUUCCCAGUGAAGUUCUUGAUAUGAGCUUUUCGUUUGGAACUUCUGAAAAAUCAAAACCAGCAUCAGCAGCUGUCGGACAUCAACCUCGUAGGCGACGAUUGACGGAUGGCUAAAAGGUAAACUAGCUCCCGAACCAUCGGUGGGGUAUUGUCUCAGCUCUGCGAAUCGCUGAUCCUAGACAUUAUCGAAAGUUACCAGCUACGGAAUCGAUUAAUCCACCAGAAACUGUCGCAGUUUUACCAGCUACGGAAUCAAUUAAUCCGCCAGCAACCGUCGCAGUUCUACAAUUCCGAGCUCCACGGAUGUCCCAAGAAUAUUACAGAUUCCCACACGACAGGCCCAAUUGCCCAACAGUAAACCAGUGGUCUUUUAACGAAUAAGAAAAACAGGGUGUGCGGGUGCAAACAUUUACGGCACCUAAGACGAAUGGAACCAAGACCGAUGAAAUCGCGCGGUCCGGUCUGGAAGGUCCAACCGGACGUAAAAAAUCAUUCCCGGAUAACGUGAAGAUCUUUUCGAUGUUGGAUACAAUUUGAUUGCGGCCUAGUCUUGUUGUUCCCGGAAGUGGCCGACAAGAAGAACAGACGGCGCACAGCUCAAGACAGAGGAGAAAUGAAACGUGAGCCAGGUCUCGGUGCGGUCAGUCGCAACUGUUCCAUUUCCAUCAAUCUUUCCACCAUCUACAGUACCCUCAGCCAAGUCACCAGUUCCGGAAUUGCCUGCCAUCAAAAGUUCACCCAGUUGUGAUCCUGGGCUUGCUACAAUUGAUGUUUCAUCCACCUCACAGAUUAGAAGCUGAUAGGAAUGGAAUUGCUUCUAUCAGUUCUGACAUUGGGUGCCAUGAAUGAUGUUCCCUCGCUGCUAGUAAUGCAGCAAUAAUCAGGCAUCCGACAAUAUAAAGGCUGUAUACCUCCUGGCUGUCCUCGGCGGCAACGCCAGCCCAUCGAGUGCCGACAUCGAGAAGAUCCCGAGCUCGGUUGGUAUCGAGGCCGAUUCAACUCACGUCACCAAGGUGGUCAACGAGCUGAAGGGCAAGUCGGUGGAGGAACUGAUGGCCUCCGGUCGCGAGAAGCUCUUGUCGAUACCAGCUGGUAGAGCCGCUCCAGCUGACGAUGCUUGUGCUCCUGCCGUUGGUGCUGCUGCCGCUCCUGCUGAAGAUUAGAAGGAAGAGUCGGAAUCGGAGGACGACUUUCGGUCGUCGGGGGCUUCGGUCUCUUUUAAUAAGAAGGGAUUCAACCACAUCAUUGGAAUGUGACGAUGACCAUUCGUACGAAAGCUAUACUAGUGCAGCGGAAUCGACAUAGUUUCGCCCAUGAGACCGCGCAUGGCCGAUCAAUUCCCAUUUGGCAGCUUCUAGCACUCCUCAAGAAUAGGCAAACAUUGGUGCUUCAUCCGAUAAAAAGCAAAAUAACAAAACCGUUCAUCAUCCUACAACCACUUGCAAUGGUGCAUACAAUGACGGCACUUCGGACGGCACGCAACAUAUCAAUGGAACUUGCGAAAUUCCCGAAAUUCCCAUGGCCGAGUGACAAAGUAGUGCGGUAUACCGUGUGUUAAUAAAAGCUUCAACCGAACACACAUCGACAACAUCCGGACAACUACAGAAAAAACAACUUUCCUACGUUCAUUUCAAUUUGUAUGUUUCCUGGUCUUGCCGAUCCGGAACUGUCAUCUAUAGGAAAUGGCCAUGACGGAGGCCGGGAAAAGUCCGGGAGUCGUUCAGCAUAGAGAGGGCAUGGGCACAAAUGGAAUCCUGUUAUUAUUUUUUUCGUUCUAAGAGCUAUUUUGAUAUGCUGCUGAAAUAACGAUCGGAUCGCAGAUUUUUAUUUGAAAGAUCUUUGUACCAGCCGAGAGUUUUUCUUCAAACGGCCAUACCGUCAGAAACCCUAUUGCAGUUCCGGUCGAGGUUCCGGUAUGGCAUGCCGUCAUGCCGAGAUUUUUAAUCUGCUUGAGUUGUCGGACCUCAAGGACCACAUUGUGGACGCACGACGGAAAUACACGAUGACAUUUAUUCAAUAUGAAUCAUUGAUUAUAUUUACGGAGAUACAUUUGCAUAACUUGGUGAAUCGCAUUGCUGCCCACACUACCGUAAUGUGUAAUAAAUUACCGUAAUGAUUACGAAUACAUACCUAUUUUAAGAUCACUUCAAAA